AAGUAAUUUGCUGAGAAGAACUGGCUUGUUGAGUUGUAGGACAUAAGAAUCAUCUUGUUUCAGAGUUUCCCAACAUCAUUAGCAUACUCUGAAAAUUAGUACAAGGUUGAUAUUUCCAGCUGCCUGCGAGGUUCUGUUGUGCGAGACAUAUCCUGAAGAAGUGGUCAUUGUGCCAUCAUGGGCACUGCUCAUCCUAUAGAUUCUUGGAAAGGGUGCUUUGGCAAGAUCUGACAAGCUGUCUGCAAAGCCAAACACUGAAGACUAAACUUUCAAAGGAAAAGAUUUCAAUGAAAGACAUGGGCUGGAACUCAUAUCUGUGGAGAGAGCUGGCACAUGGGUGAAGCUGAGCCUUUCUGCCUCUGCAUACCUGUGAGCCUGCUAGCCCUGCUCAUGAAGAAAAUAUGCUAUAUUUUUGCUGUUGUUCUUGUUUUUCUUCCUUUUGCUUAACUGAGUCCAGGUAUUAGUCUGGGCUGCUUGUUUAGAUGCUCAGUUUAACACCCAAUCGUUAACUGAUUUCUUCAGAAGAAUAAAUCCAAUAAUAUUAAAACCUAUGCA
rnacentral:lncRNA from 1 species